rnacentral:lncRNA from 1 species
CGCGGGGCGCCGCAGCCUAGUGGCCACGUACCUGUGCGGCUCCCGGGCGCUGGGCCAGGGCGCCUCCGCCCACGCCGACUCUGGGGGAACCGAGAACACGCUGACAGCGACCCCCAGGGAACUCUGCACCCUUGAAGCGACCCUUUUAGCCCAUUCAGCGCCCAGAGAGGCUGUCCUGAUGCACAGGUUCACUGCCCUCCGAGGGGUCCCUCUUUUCAGGGGAAAGUAUUUAUUGCCGGGGGGAGGGGGGGGCGGGGGGGGAGGCACAGCCACUUCAACCCACAUGGUGGCUCAUCUGGACACUUGGUGUGCUGCUGUGGGGUGCAGAAGAGAGAAGGAACCUGUAGUGUUCCUGUAGACUCUGUUUUCUUAGAUAAUCCCCAGGGGAAAGCAAAGGGGAAAGUAGGAGAUCCAGCAGGCGUCGUGGUACGUGGGUCGAGAAUGGGUGGGUGAGUGAGAAAUGCUCAGGAAGAGGAAAGGACGGGUCGCCAAGAUUUGCAGACACUUCCUUUGUGCCCAGCACAUUUUGGGGGUGCCUGGUGUUUUAUCUCAUUCAGUCCCCUUGGCAAUUCUUUGAGGUAGGUGGAUACCCUAAACCCAUUUUUCUCAUGAGCAUUGGAGGCUCACAGAGAAAAAAGUACUUGCCCAAGUCACCAGCAGGAUGUGGGCAGUCAUAUUCUUCUGGUAUUGGUCAUAAUAAAUUACUCACAGUUCGGGUGACAGUAGAGACACAUGGAGACAAAGCAGACCAGGACCCAGGUUCAAGGUGGAAGCCUCAGACCUUCCGGCUGGCCCCUUCAGCCAAAUGAGCCUGGCAGAAACCAAAGGCUGGGGGCUGGGUUGGGAGGGACACACACAUACCAUUCCCUGUCCUUGCCAUGACAGACACUCCACACCUGGGCAUGGAUCAGUGUCCUCCUGGGAAGGGGAGAGUGGUGGAACUCGAAGUUAAAAUUUUUGAGUUGGACCUUUGAACGCUGUAAAAAUCCUCAAAAAUCACUUUUGCAAAAGUUAAUCAUUUGCUUUCUCCACAGGCCAGAUAACCUUUGCAACAUGGUUGGGGUUUUAUUUGCUUUUCUUGAAAGUCCUGAAGUUUGUAUUUGGUACAAUGUGCUGUAGGUGAGGAAGAAAGGAAUUCAGGGUCUAGUAAAGGGCUUGGUUUUCUUCCUGCCCUCUAUGUCCCAGGAGUUCAAUAACAUUUUCUUGGUGAAAGGUUAUGAAUUGAGGACUGAAGAAAAGUCUGUCUUCUUCAGCUGUGAGGAGACCCUAGCAGAAAAUGGCAUUCCAAAAACAAAACAAAAAUAAAAUAAAACCCAAUCCACCACCAUCUUAUACCUGAUUCCUUAGGAUCCUGCUCACAUCUGGGUGGCAGCCAAAGUCUACAAACAGAAAGGAUUAUCACCGUUUCCUUAGUACAGUGCAUUAAUCAACUUUAGACUUAAGAGAGAUGCAAAUCAGGAACUUUUUCAUUAAAAUAGAAAAUAUUAUAAAAAUACUAAAAUUUCAAUCACUUAAAAGUUAACUGAGGGCUAGUGGCAGCUCAGUGGUAGAACACUUGCCUAGCAAGAGCCUGAUUUUCCUCCCUAGCAUGUGAACGCAAGUGCACACAUAGUUAAAAUAAAAAAAUAAAAAUCAAAAGUUAACUGACCUCCUAUAAGAAUUAUGGAGGACACAUUGGCUGUGUGAACUUAUGCAAGUCAAUAGACUUCCUUAGGCUUCAGAUUCCCCCUCUGUUAGGAGGUGAGCUCACAGCCCCUUCUGAGAUUAAUGCUCUUCAUCCUAUAAUCUUGCAGGCUACCAUAAAAGGCUUCCCUAGCACUGUUCCAAUGACCGUUUUUAGUUUUGUUUUUCUUUUGGUACCAGGGCUUGAACUCAGGGGCACUCGACCACUGAGCCAUAUCCCCAGCCCUAUUUUGUAUUUUAUUUAGAGACAGGGUCUCACUGAGUUGCUUAGCAUCUUUACUGAGGCUGAUUUUGAGCUAGAGAUCUCCUGCCUUUGCCUCCCAAGCUGCUGGGAUUACAGGUGUGCGCCACCAAGCCCAACCCAAUGACUGUUUUUGAUUCAGUGAUCAGAUGGGCUAGCUGGACCACACCCAUCUUUCUGACCUUCUGACAACUGGCUGGACAUUUUCAUUAGACAUCUAUCUCAUGGGACACUCAAACAUGAGAUGCACCAACGGAACGUGUCAUCCCUCCCUUCUCUGACUUCUCCAGGCACUUGACCUGGGAACCUCAAUAUCAUCCUUGAGGUCCUUCAGCCUCCAUGUUGAGGGGGUUUUCUGAGACCUGAAUGUUCUCUCUGUGAAGUGCCCUUCUUCCUCCUAGCCCCAGUACUUCUACCCUUAUCACCUCUUCUCUGGCUCCUGCUGUCACCUGCCCCCACCAGUCAUUCCCCUCUACGGCAUAUGAAGUGUCACUCUCAGAUCCAUCACACUGAUCCAAAGCUCUGGCCAGCCUCUCCUCUGUGACACGAACUCAAAUGGUUUCCUGUUGCCAACUGAAUAAAUGCCACUUGGGGUCUUCCAUGAAGUAGCCCCAACCUGACUUCCCUUCCUCAUACUCCUCACAGUUCUGCCAAACACAAUCUCUGCUUUUCUUUUCUUUCUUUUUUUUUGUACCAGGGAUUGAACCCAGGGGUGCUUCACCAAUGAGCCACAACCCAGCCCUUUUAAUUUUUUUUUUUUAAAUUUUGAGACAGGGUCUUGUCAAGGUGCUUAGGGCCUCACUAAUUGCUGAGGCUGGCUUUAACCCUCCUGCCUCAGCCUGCAGAGCUACUGGGAGUACAGAGGUGAGCCACCUCACCCAGCAUGGCACACAGCCCUGUUUUUCUUAUCUGUCUGCUCACUCAUCACAUUCUGUCUAGAACAAGUGCAGCUCCCAUACCUGCCUGUAAAACCUCCACUUCCCAAUGAAGGCCCAGCCCAAAGUCUCCUUUUCCUUGAAACUUUCUAGGAGGCCCAUACUUUCAUGUGUUUAUUCAGCCAACAGAUAUGUAUUAAGCAUCAGCUCUGUGCCAGAUUUUGUUCCAUGUAUGGAAAUUCAGUGGCAACUAAGAGGGAUGAGUUCCUAAUCACAGGGAGCUUGUUGUUGCUGGGUGACAGAACCUAAACCAACAAACAAAUAAGAAAACAAUAGAUUCCAAGAGUGCAGGGGAGGAGUGCUUGGAUUUGUUGGCCUUUGUGACAGUCUACUUGUAAUUUGCCUUUUUGUGAUCAAAUACUAUCUUGCAAACCCAAGUCUCAUUUACCUUUGUAACUUCCACACUGCCUGACAUCAUCACAUCUGCCAUCUGUGCAGUGGUCCUCGGUGUGUAUCUGUGGAAGGGCACAAACCCUGGAUUUGUCUCUGCCCCACCACAUAUCUGUUAAGAGGUUUUAAACAGGUUCCUUGAUUUCUCCAAGGCUUAAGGUCCUUGUGUGUAAAAUGGGGACCAUAAAGCCUGCCUUGCUGACUUGGAAAACCAAAUGAGAUCGGGUGUGAGAAGUUACUUAGUAAACUAUAAAAUGAAGCAUCCCAUAAUCAUAAUCAUUAAGCCAUGAUUACCCUGGGUCUUGGUACUGGCUUCCUUUGGAUAAUAAAGUAGGCUAUCUGCUCCAAAUACAGAAACCCUUUGGAUAGGAGUAUAUUUAGAAAUGUAAUUUCUAAGUCUAACUUUCUGGGUUCUUAAGGAAGAAAGAAUUCUGGGCUCAGGAUAAUCUCAAACUGCCUGAGAAGCAACUGGGUUUUUUUUUUUUACUCUCUCCUAAAAUAUGUCCUCCCAGGGAUGUGCCUCUUCUAUUAAGGUUUGCUGCUGCAAACCCAUGAGACAUGCAAUUAAAAGCAUGCUCCUCUGCUUGGUGCUCUCAGAAAAUAUGACAUUAGAUGAAGUCCUCUCCUGCUCUUGGCUAUGAUUCUCAGUGUCAGUGUGUGAACGUAUUCUGCCACUCACCAACCACAGAGGGCAAAGAACCUGAAAAUUUCUCUUCUCUUCCCACAUGGUCUCAGACUCCGUUUUCCAUCUUCUUAGCUUUCCAGAAUCCACUCAUUACUGCAGGCCUAUUCCUGCAGCGUUGGAAUGGCUGUGAAUGGCUCUGCCUUGGGAUGUAUCAGCCAGAAUGAAGCCGCAUGGAGCACAGUGUCCAAGAUGUUGGGUCACUGGGAAAAAAAUGUACCCCCUGCUCAUUCAAAGUUUCUGAAUAGGUUCCAAAGUUUUGACAAAAACUUUUUUUUUCCAGUAUCUUCAGUGUUAUUUUAUAAUUAAGUUCCCUAAAAAUGGUUCCUGGUCAUGGAGAUCUAUUUCUCUGAAAACAUUGCUUGGACAAAUAUCCUUUGGGGUAUUUGAUAAAUAUUAAUUGAAUUGAAAGAAGAGAGAUAUCCGAAUAUGCAAUCGUGUUGGUAGCACAUUCCUCCAUCCCACUUCUUCCCACCACCUCAAUUAAUCAGGACUUCAGGGAGUAUGUUUCCAAUUUCUUACUCUCUCUAGUGAGACUUGGAGUCUGUGGCCUUGGAAAACUUUUCUCCUGUGUUUUCUGUCUUGAGGACUCAGGAUUUCACUUCCAACACCACCUGGAGAGACACAUGCAGAGCUAGGGGACAGGUCAUAGAAGCCUCUGCUGACAGGGCCCUUCUCUGAGGGCUCGGGCCUGUGGUUCAGCUCUGCAUAUGAAUACUUCUCUGAGUCUCAGUCUCCCCAUCUCCCACAUACCCACGUUUCACAUACCUUCAAUCUAGAAAAUUGGGCCAUAAUGAAAUAAAUAACCUGAGUAGUUUUAUAAUAAUUAGAAAUUUGAAUUCAUAGCUAAAAACCCUUUGAAAAACUAUAAGGGAAAAAAUUCACUUGAGUGAAGUAAAUUAUAUGAAAGUGCUGGUUACUAUCAUCUCAGCGAUAACACAUCACAUGCAAAAUAUAAAUUUUUGACCCUAACUUAAAAUUAUCAUACAAUAAAAUUGGAUUAUGUGUGCAUUUGUGUGUAUGAUUCUAUGAAUCGCAGUACAUGUAUAGAUUUGUGUAACCAUUACAGCAAUGAGAAUGCAGGAGGUCCAUUGCUCUGUUCAUUUACCAAAGGACAAUUUAGUCAUAGUGUAUUAUUAUUUUAAUAUAUUGCUGGAUUCAAUUUGCCUUUGUGUGUGGGGUAACAGACUUAAUAUGAGACCUAUCCUUUUAACAAAAUUUUAACUAUAUACUACAGCACUGUUAAUUGUGGAUAUUAUGUUGUCCAGAACUUAUUCAUCUUACAUAAUUGAACUAUAUACCUGUUGACUAGCAAUGAACCCUUUCCUUUGAGAGAUAUUUUUCCGAAAUUAUUUCCCUUGUGCUAUCUUUGUCUGGUUUUGGUAGAAGGUAGUUCUGGCCUCAUACAAUAAGCUGAGAAGUACUACUCCUCGUCUAUGUUCUGGGAGGAUUGGUGUUAUUAUUAUUUUUUUUAAUGUUUGAUAGAAGUUAUCAGUGAGACCAUCUGGAUGUAGAGAUGUUUUUUCAAAGGGUUUUUAAUUACGAAUUCUGUUUUUUAAUCAUUGCAAAUCUACUCAGAUUAGCUAUUUCAUUGUGGCUGAAUUUCUAGAUUGAAGUUUUCAGGAAAUUGCUGUGUUUCAUCUAAGAUAUCAGAUUUGUGUGUGUGAAGCUGUUCAUAAUGUUGUUAUCUUUUUAAUGUCUGUAGGACCUCUAGUAGUGUACCUUUCAUUUCUGAGAGUGAUAAUUUGUGUCUUCUCUCCUUUUUAAACUAAUGUUUUUAAAUUUCUUUAUCUUUUCAAAGAAACAUCUUCUGUUUUUAAUUUUAUUGAUCUUUUCAAAGAACUUUCAGUUUCAUUGGUUUUUCUCUAUUGUUUUUCUGUUUUCAUUCUCAUCAAUAUCUGCACUUAAUGUAUUAUUUCCUCCUCCUGCUUGUUUUGGAUUGAUUUUGCUCUUCCUGCUCUAGUUGUAUAAAAUGAAAGCUUAGAUGAUUGACUUGACACCUUUCUUCUUUUAUAAUACAAGCAUUUAUUCCUAUAAAUUUUCUCUCAAAGCUUUGCCUUUGGUACAUCCUAUAAAUCUUGAUAUGCUAUAUUUUUAUUUAUAUUCAGUUAAAAAUAUUUUCUACUUUCUUUCAAGACUUCCUCUCCGACAAGAAAUCACUGAUACAUGUUUUGUUGAAUCUCCAAGUGUUUUGAGAUUUCCACACAUAUAUUUUUAGAACCAGUAAACCUAAAAGCUACAGAAAUGUAAAGAAGCUAUUAUUUUAAAAACUAAGUAAUUUACUGAGCACCUACUGUGUUCAAAUCACGAGCCAGGCUGCUUGAGAUUCAAUUCCAGCCCCCAAGGAGUUGACCAUCUAAGACAGAGAUGGAGACACCCACACAGACAAGUGGGAGGCUCCGUGGUGGGUGGGACAUGUGCUGCCAUGUUAUGGAUACAGAGCAGCACUGCAAUAGGGGCCUCUUCCAGUGGAGUGGUCAAGGUCAAGGGGUGAAGUAGGCCUUAGAUAGGUAGGACCUCUGUAAGGAAGGCCUUAGGGGAGGGAAGUCCAUUCUAGUGAGGGAAGCUUUGCCUGGCCUCCUCUGGCUCCCAAUGUCACUUGGUACAUUGGUCUGCCCAACUCACACACAUCUGGAGAGUGAACUAACCAGACUCUUAGACUGAGGCUCUUCCAGAAGUUAAAGGCAGCACCUCAACCCUUCAGGAAAGCAGGAUUUACAUGAUUUUCUGGACCAGCAAAGGUGAAGGUAGAGAGGGAUGACAAAGAUCAAGCUGAUAUUGAAAAAGCACUCUACUUCUUUCACAUUUUACAACCUCACAGACUUAGUCUGUCUUUCUGCUUUGUCAAAAGUUGACCUAAGCCACUGGAAGUCAAGGACUCACCACAGUAAAGUGACUUGUUUUUGGACCCUGGAGCAUGCUGCCCUGUCCUAAGAGUGAACCAAAUCAGCUUUUGAGUUUCAACCUCUUUAUUGGUUUUCUCUUGCUGUAACAAGAUAAAUGAAAGUGGGCAGCUUUUUUUUUUGAAAGAGGCUUAUUUAGCCCAGAUUUGAAGACUGAAAGUCUAAGAUCAGGUGGCCCCAUCUGUUCAUCCUUUGGUGAGGGCCAUUUUGGCCAAUGGCCAUGAGGUUGGGAGCACAUGGGAGUGGAUGAGGUCACUGGUGGUCCCAAGAAGUUCAGUGGCCAGGCUUGCUCGUUUUAUGACAACUUGCUUUUGCAGGAACUAAGGAACUAACCAUGUUCCCACAGGAACUUUAGCAAUUCCUUCCAAGGGAAAUGAUCUCAAAGACCUAAUCACCUUCCACUAGAUCCCACUUCUGAAAGGUUCCACCACUGUUCAACAUAUCCAAGCUUCCAUGACACAAAACUGUGAGGGACAUGCCACAAACCACCUGAAAACCAUAGCAGGCUCUCUGGUCUGUGUAGGCCGGAGAAAGGCCAGGGUCAAUGUAGCUAAAGGAACGAAGAUGGCAAGCAGCAAGAGAGAAAGAAUUAGCUUCAGCUGAGAGGGCUUUGGCUCCCUACAGAAGGAAACAGAGAGGGAAAUGUGAGGUGACAGUAAAUCCUAUCCCUUGAGAUACAUGAUUGAUCUACCAACAAGAGAGAGAAUUAACAAAUCAAAAGUUCUUACAACCAAGUCUUUCACCCUUCACGAAGAUUCCAGCCAUAUUUCACCUUCUUUCCCUUUUUCUUUUUUUUUUUUUUCAAAAACUGACUUGUGGGAUCUGCUUUUGUUAUUUAGGAAGAGUGGAUUAAGAGCCAUGCUCCUAAACUUUUGUAAUUUACAUUUUUUCCCUUCAGUUUAUUUUGCACUUGCAUAUUUUGUUUUUUAACUGAAGGAGGACUGUGCAUAUGUUGGUGAUUUGACAGGAAAAAUAUUUGUUUUAAAGAGCCUUCUAGCAAAGAUUCAAAUGACUAGCUUGAACAGAAUUUUUUUUUUAAUUUUAAAGAACAUGAUUUAUUUCUCAUUAAAUUUCCUUGAGCUAGUUACUUAAACUCUCUUAGUUUUCUUAUCUGAAAAAUGGAUAACAACACCUACGUUGUGGACUUGCCCUGAUGUGGGAAAGACAACAAUCCCAAGGCCACCUCCGAUAGCGGGGAGAAUGUAGUCACUGAUGUGGACGUGAACUGCCUGAAUAAAUCCCCCCAGUGCUUUAUGAAAUUCUAUCAUGGAACUUCCAAGUCAUUCUAUGAAUUCCAAACUAAUCCUUCUACCUUAGCAUCUGGACCCAACAUGAAAGGUCGAUAUGACCUGUUUUCUCAUGCAAAUAACUACUUUGUUCUAAAGAGGAAGAAUUCUAAAGCACAAGGAAAUUUUAUGAAGAGUCAGAUCUUGAUUUAUGUGAAAACAAAAUAUCCGAAGGGAUUUUGUAUUUUUUAUGAUGCUUUUUAGCUCAGAAAGGACAUCUACAUGUUUCAUCUCUUCUGGAUUACCAAAAUCACCCCAGGGGGGGAAAAAAGCUAGAAAGGGAUUGACCAUUUUGGUUCUACAAAUAGGGUAUUAAAGACUGUAAGAGGGUAAAGAAUUCACUCAUGUCUAUUAAAGGCCUGAAGAAGUCUCAGGCUCAGUCUCUUGUGUUCAAAUCUAAAACUAAGGUCUCUUCGGCUUGGGGAACUAUAGUUAAAGCUAUUCAAAAGGAUGACUUAACCUUUUAUUUUAUGUGUACCCUUUUAGGUUUUCCCUUAUGCAAAGUGCCUACUAGAACUUAAAAAAGGGUUUAGAUUACUAUUUUAUUAGUUUUCAUGUUGAGGGUAUUACUUAUCUUACUAAAGUACCUACAGGCGACUAAAGUGCAGAUAUAUAAUGAUGUUGAAUGGAAAGAGAAAGAGGAGGUCCAGGGGGCUGCCCUGAGUUAUUGGACAGAAUGCCACUAUCAUCUGGGUACCUCCUCCCCUCAAAAAAAAAAUGUUAGAAUAUAAUACCUAUUAUAAUAGUAUUGAGAGGUGGGGACAGCCAGGUGUGGUUCAAGGCCAGCUGCAAUUUAGCAAGGCCCUCGGCAACUUAGAGAGAGCCUAUCUUGAAAUUAAUAAAAUACAAUAUGAAACCUGACAACAUGAAUCUCUGAGCUCCUACUCAUCCUGGGACAGGUCUGUCAGAUAUGGCUCUGGCCUAUUCAAGACAGACAGAUGCUGAUUCAUUCAUAGGGAGCCCUGUUUCAGUUCUGAGCCUUCGGGUAAUCUUCCAGUCCCUCCCCUCUGACUCUUUAGGGCUAGCUCUGCCCAGGGCAGCCCUCAGAAGAUGUAGUAAGCCACAGCCAACUCUGAGACACCGCCCCCUGCCAGGCCUCAGCAGCCCAGUGGGCAAGAUUCAGGUACAUGGAAGUCUAUGUGGGGCUCUGAGCCUGGGAUCCCAGGAAGAACCAAAAAGGGUCCUUACCUCCAGGGUCCAGGCCUGUGAUCUCAUUUCUCUUUCUCAGCACUGCUAGAAAAAUUGGAUCUGAGAAGGAAUUGAUUCUCCAGUGUCUUUUCUAUGGGGAAAUUUGCAGGGCAGGUAUAUUGCUGAAUCUUUAACACCCCUGGCUAGGGGACACUGAGUGUUGCUAAGCUCCCCCUAGUGCUCAUGACAACUGAAAUCAUCCGCCCACCCUGGACCUCCUCCAUUUUGAAAUGCCUGUGUGACCCUCACGUGAAAAUCACUAAAUUAAGAGUUUUUUGUUGUUGUUGUUGUUGUUGUUUAGAAAUAUAUUACCCAAUGACAGUGGAGACAGUAUACUGAACUUCAGGUCCACAGCUGGUUUUCUUAGCACUCUUAGAAUGGUCCCCACAUUUUUAAAGUGGGAGUCGGAAGGGGAAGAAGGAGAAAAAGAGAGCCCUACCUGUGGUCUACACAGUCUAAAGACGUCUCCUCUGCUCUUCACAGGAAAAGUUCACACUCAACAAGGAACGACUAAGUUCCAACCACACUGCCAGGAGCUAGGGUUCCAUAACAGGUAAGACGACCCUCUGACCUAAGGAGGCCAUAAUCAUGUUGGAGAAAAUAGACACUCUAGUCAUUGGUCACGAGCAUAGAAGCAUAAAAGGGGGGCACCCACCUCUGCCUUGGGGACUUAGGAUAAACAGAUCAGGGGAACCUUGCAAGGCGAGGUCACAGGCAAAAUGAAUCUGUAAAGAUAAAAAGGCAUUAGCCAGGAGAAGGGUUAGUGAAGCUGGGGAGAUGAUGAGGUAGGAAAAGUAGGCCAGAGAGGGAGGGAGGGAGAGAGAGAGAGAGAGAGAGAGAGAGGAGGUGCAGAGGCUAUUAGGGGAACACAACAGUGUCAAGAACUAAAGCUAGAGAGGCGGCAGAGGCCAGUGCCACAAGAUUUGUGUCUGUCAGAUGUUGGACUUUAUAUCCAGGUUCAAAUGCUUAUCCUACCACUUUAGAGCUGUGCUGCCUUAAGAAAAGUAGGUAGCCUUUCUGGGCCUACAAUUUGCCUCAGUAGAUGUUGGUUAUUGUUUAUUGUCUAUGCUCCUAUUAUACUCUAAGCAACGGGAAGGUGUUGGAAAGCUGUGAGCACCUACUGUGUGCAUGUCUCUGCAUUCAACACUGGGAAGACCGGUCUUACUUAUCUUAUGACAUGUGUAUGUGGCCCAGACCUUGCAGGAGCACAGGUAGAGAGUGUGACUUUGGGGUUUCCAGGUGUGACAGUGUUCGGGAAAUGGUGAAUAGCCCAGUCACCCUUUGCUGAAGGUGUGUAGAAGUCAGCCCUGGAGCACAGAGAUUUGAGAGCCUAGGAAGGCAGGAGCUCAGCAUUUAGUGGCAUCAUGAAGCCUUCAUGUUGGGAGCCAUGUGCAUCCCUGUUUCUUCUAAAUGGAGACUAUUAAAUGCGGCCUAACCGUGGAGAAUGGAUCAAGUCUUCUCAUCAGACUCUUGAUCCGGGGCAGCUUUACUUUGCCGCAGUGGCCCUAUCAAGCCAUCAAUUCUCUGAAAUCUCCUAGGACACAUACAGUCCUUCACUGGGUGGCUCCUUCACAUGCAGGAGACAGUCUCUCUCCCAGUGUGAUCCCACAGCAGAAGCCAUUCUGGAAACAAUCCACCAAGCAGCAAUGGCUUGUUUUGGACAGAAGAGGAGUCAUUCCCUGCUCUCCCCUGUGAGUUCUCCCUCUAGUUGCUCUGCCACCACACAUGGGACUUUCUCAGGCACAGAGGCUGCGAAGGAGGCAGGAACAUCAGCACCAAUUUGGAGAAGAGAGGCCUGCAGCUUCCCCUCCCCGUCUCUCCUGUGGCCAGAGCAAUGAAGAGGGAUCUCUUUUUUCUGUGGAGCUCCACCAAGCUGGCUUCUAAGCAGGGAGGGGGACUCCCGAGUGGAUGACCUCUCUGCAUGGGUCACAGGAGAACUGAGGACAGAGCUCUGUGGCUGAGUAUGGCGGCUCUGCAUGACGCCCUUGGCCUGGGUUCUGCCUUCCCCACCGCAGGGGCAGCCUGGAGUUGGCUGCUGGCAGCCUCAGCAACCCAGACCAGCGCCUACGAAGCUGGGCACUGAAUAUGCAAUCUCUAAGUGCUCUGGACUCCUUCAACAGCGAGGACAUUAUCUUUGAUAUUAUUAUAUAGUAAUGAGAAAAUGUUCCUGCGGGCUGCGGCUUUCUGGCAGAGCACACUGUGCCCUGUGAGGAAAUACGGUUACAGGAAUUAUGCUCUUAUUUAUCUUGCCUCCAGAAUAUCCAAGUUGACAGCCCAGACACGGGUCUGUGGUCAUUUCCAGAUCAUCCACCUGCUCCUGCCCCUCCCCCUGCGUCUCCUGCCUGUGGGCCUCCUGCUCUCACCUGUCUUCCUUCCACCUUGGUGCUUAUGACACACAACUGCUUCAGCACUUUGCUCAGAUUCUGUCAUUCAAUUCUCCUGAUAGCCCAGGAGUUAAGUCGAAUACUGCUCUUAUCUUACACUACACGUGAGGAAACUGAGGCCUGGCGAGGUUAAGGGACUAGCAAGUGGCAGAGCAUGCAUUUGACCCCAGGUGAUCUGGCUCCAUAACAGGGCUUUAAACCUCACACUGUGCAGCCUCCAGGUCUGGUGAUUUUCUGUGUGGUUCUAGGUACAGAACGAACUCUGGGCACUGUGAUACUUGGCAUCCAAAGCUGGGACACCAUGGAACCAAGAAGUACUGAUGACUAGCACCAGCCAUAUGAGAAGAGGAGCCCCUAUGGAAGCUUCAACUCAUCCAGAGUGAACAAUGUGGUCCUUUCCCCAGGGCGUUCCCAGAGUGUCUCCAGCAAUCCCACAGCUUGGGCGUGUGCAAUCCCACAGGCAGCCCAGCACUUCCAGAGCAAUUCCUGGGAUUCUCAGAGCUUCCCACAACCAGCCUCAGUUUGAGCAGCUGACCUCCGAAUGACCAGCUGCUGGACACCUGGGCUCCAGGCCAGCUCUCUGGGCAUGGUCAUCAAUGGGCCAUAGGGACCCUCUUCAGGAACACUAGCCAACGCGUGCGGGAGUCUGCCAUGGUGCAUAUCUGGGUGUGGACUUGCAUGCCAAUAUAAGGGGACAACUAUGUAUCUCACCAGGGUCCCUCUCACCAGGUUGUCAUGUGGUGUCUUCACUGUUGCCCACUAGAGUGUGCGUAGGUGCACUGUCUAAAUAUGUGCAUGUGUUAAGAAGGGCACAGAGUGUGUUAAAGUAUCUGUGUGCACACUCUGGUAGGGGUUGGGCUGAGAUAUUUGGCUGUGUUUCUGUGUGUGCCUAUGGGUAUUCUCUCUUGUGAUUCUCAACUCAGUUGCAGAUGACAGCUGCCUUCACAUUGUCCCUUCUGUUUUCAGACCCCAGCAAUGUUCUGAGGUGAUAUGGGCCCUACCUUGCAAAGACAGGCAGCUUGAUUUUGUCCCUAUAGGGUAUGAACCCUUCCAGCUCUCCCUGUCCUCCCACUGGUUUCUGCUCUCCCCUCAUGCUCUGUCCUAGCCCUGCUGACACCCCACUGGACACAUCAGAAAGGAGCUGGAAACCAUCUGGUUGAAACAUAGUUCCUGAGCUAUGAAAGCACAGUGCCCAGGAUCCCCUGGGGCCAUGGCAAGGCUGUAUCCAAGAACUUCUGUGCCCCAUACCUCCAUCUCCUGGCCUGAGCCUGUCUUCCCACCCUGGAUAGGCACAAUCCAUGGGUGAGGGUCCUUCUUUCCCUAGUCAUUCUGUCUCUGGGUGGUUCCCAGUGGAAGUAGCAUUACUCUGGGACAUGGCCAAUUGCCUCUGAAAUUUCAAUCAUAGCCUCUACAUUGCCCUACAAAGCUGGGGACACUGGGGACAAAGGGGGCCAUUAAACAUGUGUAUAUUUUCAGUUAGCUGGAGAGCAGGACACGAAGCUGCUGGUGGGCCCUCAGGAGAGGAAACGUAUUCAAAGAGGCAGAUGCUGGCCAUGGAUUCUGCAUCUUGGCAGGGACAGCAGCUCUUGGCACUUGCUCUAGAAGGCCUGACGCACUGUCUGUCCCACUGCAGCGGUUCUCCUUGCAUAUGACCUCAUGUUCCUCAGCUCCAGUGCCCAGGUCCAGGUCUCCCCAGUGUGUGGCAGCCCUCAGUGCUGCUCCUUGGCCAGGAGGGCCCAGGCAGGCCUCCAGGUGGGGAUUUUCUUAUGAUGGGGAAAAUAAUCAGAAAGCUCUAUGAUGUUGGGCAAAUUGCUUAAGCCCUUUGUGCCUGGGUUUGUUAACCUAUAAAAUGGGGAACAAUAUAUACCUCACAGGGUGUGGUAAGACUUAAACAAGUCACUCUGUCCUUAACAUAUACUGAGAGAUACAUCGGGCACUAUCUGCAAUGUAUGUAGGAAGCACUUCAUAAUUGUUUAUUAUAAGACUACCCCACAGCCCAUCUGACUUUCUCCCUGGGUCUGCUGGAAGGGGAAAGGAGAGAGACUUCUUUUGCAGGGUUUAAGAUUGGAAGCAGGCAGGGAUAAUGCCCUUUCACACUUAGAAAGGACCCCCAUUAUCCUGGCAUUACUGGGGAUACCCAGGGUACCUGGGGGAUGCAGCCCUGUGUAGGCAGGUGAGGAUAUCAGCAGGACAAAACUUCCCACCCAGGACAGGAAGCCUGCCUCGCCCUGCUCCUGUCUUCUCUGGUCUUUAUUAAAGGUCAGCAAGAGCAGAGAGACCCCCUAGAAUUUGUCUCUGUUGACAAGGCCAGCAGACAUAGGCUCUAAAAAUAAACCUUAAUAAGAUUUUAAGUAAACACUUUUUCAACAACAAUUCAGAUCACGGUUCUUUUUCUCUCCUACCGAGCAGUGUGACCUAUAGUGAAGCCCACUGCACAGAGGAGAAAAUGUCAGAGGCUUCAGAGCCCUGGAAGACUCUCAAGGCCUGCUCUGCCUGUGGCCUGCCUUGCCAGAAGGAUCUUGAAGCGAGAGCUGCAAACCCACCCCAGGGGACACGGGAACUACUAUCUCCGCCCCCACCCCCACCCCCACCAUGGACUGUCUGCACCCAGAUUCCAGCAGGCAGAGGGUGUCCUGGCUUUGUUUUCAUUUCAACAUGGCCCUCUCAUAGGCAAGGUCUGGGGGCCACCAAUCUGUCAAGUUCACUGCGGGUGCAGGAUGCUGCGCAGCGCAGUGUGGGGCUUAAGAACGACUAGAAAGGGCUCCGGGAAUGGGGUCUCUG